rnacentral:misc_RNA from 1 species
GUACCUUCAAGCUUUGCUUGGUGUUGGGCGUUUUUGUCUCCCUCUUUCUGGGAGACUCGCCUUAAAACGAUUGGCAGCCGGCCUACUGGUUUCGGAGCGCAGCACAUUUUUUGCGCUUUGUAUCAGGAGAAAAGGACGGUACUCCAUCAAGACCUCUACAUUUUUAAC